ensembl:lncRNA
CACCAAACUAUGAGUUCCUAGAGGCCAGGAACUGCUGUAUUCAUCCUUGGCCUGGUUCAUGUUUCAUGUUCAAUACACAGAAGUUUACCUGAAUAAUGCUGUAAUUUUAAAUCACAGAAGUCAUCUGAAAGUGGAGUAGAUGGAACUUUGUGUGAAUCUCUCAAUUCCCAACUACGAAUGGAAAAUGGAAAAGACUUUUCAGAAAUGGAUGAAUAAUUAGCAUCUGUAGCCCUUCAGUUGAGUUUAGUCAGCUCUUUGCGAUCUCACGGACUGCAGCACGCCAGGAUUCCCUGUCCAUCACCAACUCCCAGAGCCUGCUCAAACUCAUGUCCAUCGAGUUGGUGAUGCCAUCUGACUAUCUCAUCCUCUGGCAACCCCGUCUCCUCCUGCCUUCAAUCUUUCCCAGCAUCAAAGUUUUUUCCAAUGAAUCAGCUAUUCACAUCAAGUGACCAAAGUAUUGGCACAUCAGCUUCAGCAGAAGUCCUUCAAAUGAGUAUUCAGGGUUGAUUUCCUUUAGGAUUGACUGGCUUGAUCUUGCAGUCUUAGGGACUCUCAAGUCUUCUCCAACACCACAGUUCAAAAGCAUCAAUUCUUCGGAGCUCAGCUUUCUUUAUUGCCCAAUUCUCACAACCAUACAUGACUACUGGAAAAACCACAACUUUGACAAGACAGACCUUUGUCAGCAAAGUAACAUCUCUGCUUAUGCUGUCUGCUGCUGCUGCUGCUGCUGCUAAGUCGCUUCAGUCGUGUCCGACUCUGUGCAACCCAUAGAUGGCAGCCCACCAGGCUCCCCCGUCCCUGGGAUUCUGCAGGCAAGAACACUGGAGUGGGUUGCCAUUUCCUUCUCCAACGCAUGAAAGUGAAAAGUGAAGUAGCUCAGUCGUGUCCGACUCUUUGCGACCCCAUUGACUGCAGCCUACCAGGCUCCUCUGUCCAUGCUGUCUAGGUUGGUCAUAACUUUUCUUCCAAGGAACAAGCAUCUUUUAAUUUCAUGGCUGCAGUCACCAUCUGCAGUGAUUUUGGAGCCCAAGAAAAUAAAGUCUCUGUUUCCAUUGUUUCACCAUCUAUUUGCCAUGAAGUGAUGGGACCGGAUGCCAUGAUCUUUGUUUUAUGAAUGUUGAGUUUUAAACCAGUUUUUUCACUCUCCUCUUACACUUUCAUCAAGGGGCUCUUUAGUUCCUCUUCGCUUUCUGCCAUAAAGGUGGUAUCAUCUGCAUAUCUGAGGUUAUUGAUAUUUCUCCCAGCAAUCUUGACUCCAGCUUGUGCUUCAUCCAGCCCAGCAUUUUGCAUGAUGUACCCUGCAUAUAAGUUAAAUAAGCAGGGUGACAGUAUACAGCACUGACGUACUCCUUUCCCAAUUUGGAACCGGUCUGUUGUCCCAUGUCCAGUUCUAACUGUUGCAUCUUGACGUGCAUACAGAUUUCUCAGGAGGCAGGUAAGGUGGUCUGGUAGUCCCAUCUAAGAAUUUUCCAGUUGGUUGUGAUCUACACAAUCAAGUGCUUUGGCAUAGUCAAUAAAGCAGAAGUAGAUGUUUUUUCUUGAAUUCUCUUACUUUUUCUAUGAUCCAGUGGAUGUUUGUAAUUUGAUCUCCGGUUCCUCUGCCUUUUCUAACUCCAUCUUGAACUUCUGGUAGUUCUUGGUUCACAUACUGUUGAAGCCUAGCUUGCAGAAUUUUGAGCAUUACUUUACUAGCAUGUGAGAUGAGUGC